ensembl:lncRNA
CCUCCCCAAGCCCAAAUAUGAAAAAUUAUGCUAUUAAAAAAAAUUGCACCGCAUCAACUCGUCAUUUAACGGAUUACAGUUUGAAUCGGACAGCAGCCAAUCAAAUUGUGCCAGCAGAGAAAAAGUUGCGCAUGGCAGUGCAGAGGAACAUUGGUGGGUGAAUUCAGAUGGAGCCCUUGUAAAGAUGAUACCCCAAAUUAUUAUUUUCGGAUAUAAAGACAAUACUGUAGUCACCAAAAAAUGGAUUGCAACUUGCAAAACAUGCGGGAAGAAAAUUAUAGACGGAAGCGCAACAACUUCCAACUUUGUUUGACAUUUGAAGCUGCACAAAGAACGAUUUGAACAAUUCCAGAAGAACAAAAGUGUCAGAAGUGAACCACAAAAGUCUCCAAUCUCACAGUUCAUGGAGACCCGUGUAGGGCAGUACAGCAUGAAUCAUCCACAGCAGAAAGCUAUCAACAAAGCAAUACUGUCCAACCUGGUUAUCGAUUGCAACUUGCCGAAAAAAGUUUUCGUCACUUUCUGUCAAUGGUUGACAGUAAGUACAGCCCAGUGUGUCGCAGAACAUUGACAUCAAAAGUAGAGAACCUCGCUACAGAGAGAUGUUAAAAACUGAAAACUCAUUUGAGCGACACAGACCAUGUUUCAGUCACAGUGGACAUUUGGUCCGACCAAAAGAUGAGGGGGUUUCUUGGUGUCACUGUGCACUGUAUGGAGAAAGAUGGAGAGAGGAUACAGCUCAAAGUCCAAUCUCUUGGCCUGUGACCGCUUCAAAGGCCCACACACGGCCGAAAGAAUCUGUGAGCAAUUUGAGGCCAUAUGUGAUGAGUACAGCAUUAAAGAUAAAUUGAACUAUAUCAUUAGUGACAAUGCUGCCAACAUGAGAAAAGCAUUCACGGUGUGCUUCUCCAUUGAACAGGAUGAUGGAGUACAUGAUGAAGAUCACAAUGAUGACCCAGAGCUCUGGAAUGACCUAACCCUGGAAGACCAGCAGACAGUGGAUGCUGCUAUUGCAAAAAAAACAGCGCUCGCAGUGUUUUGCCCACACUCUCCAGCUGGUUGUGGGAGAUGGCUUGAAAGAAACAAAAGUGAUGACUCCUUCUCUUUCAAAGUUAUCGAAAAUCAGCUCACUGCUGCAUACAAGCACAACAUUCAAAUUUGGGGAAAGAGGCAUGCCUACUGCUGUCAACACAAGAUGGAACUCAACACUGAGUAAAGUGAAGGCAGUAAUCCAAUGUGGCCAUCUAAAGCUCUGUCAUGUUCUAGAAAAGGCUGGGCACAAGGAGUUGUUGUUCACAGUACGGGAGUGGAAUAAGGAGUUGGUGGACAUCCUGAAGCCAUUUGGAGCAACAGAUAUGACACAGGGGGAGAAGAUAGUCACAAUCAGUUCUGUUGUUCCCUCUGUCCUGUCCCUAAAUCACCACCUGGAGCAGCAGAAGAAUCAAGUCCAUUUCCUGAGCGGCCUGGUCAGAAGUCUCCAUGCAUCCCUGAACAAAAUAUUUAUUGGAAUCUUCAUCAAUGUGAAAAUGGCCAAGACAAGAUGGAAUCACUGCCCCCUUUUCAGAUCCAGUCUACCUCAAAGCAGCUGCCUUUGAUCCGGCUUUUUCUCUGAUGUGGGUGGAGCAGGUGUGCUGGUCAAGGAGGAGGUGGCACAAAGAGUGAAAGAACUGAUUCUGCAAGAUGCUGCAGGGACUGAGCAAGCUGUGCCUCUUGUUGAUGAGGAAGAGCGAGAGGACCAUAGUCCUGGACAAGAAGAAGAGCUGUUUGCAGCAUACUGUCCCCAAAGCACACACAUCCCUGGGUCGCUCGUCUUUUCAGUUCGACGCAGCUAGCGACUGGAACGAGCUGCAACAAGCGCUUAAACUGGACAGUUUUAUCUCCAUCUCUUCAUUCAAAGACUUAACCAUGGACGACACUCUUACUGACAGUUGUGGCUGUUUUGCGUGAUGUAUUGUUCUCUCUACCUUCUUGCCCUUUGUGCUGUUGUCUGUGCCCAAUAAUGUUUGUACCCUGUUUUGUGCUGCUACCAUGUUGUGCUGCUGCCAUGUUGUAUUGCUACCAUGCUGUGUUGUCAUGUGUUACUGCCAUGCUAUGUUGUUGUCUUAGGUAUCUCUUUAUCUAGUGUUGUGUUGUCUCUCUUGUUGUGAUGUGUGUUUUAUCCUAUAUUUUUAAUCUCAGCCCCCGCAGGAGGCCUUUUGCAUUUUGGUAGGCUGUCAUUGUAAAUAAGAAUUUGGUCUUAACUGACUUGCCUAGUUAAGUAAAGGUUCAAUUAAAAAAAUACAUAAUGAAAGAUGUAAAAACCUACUGGGCCAUUAAUUAACUUGCAAAGUGUUUCAAAGUGUAUUGCUUUGCUUGAUCCAUUAUGCAGUGGCGUGCACUCCUCAAAAUGAAUUGGGCACUGCCUCUCACAAUCAGUGUCCCUAGCCAUCCGAUUCCAAAGUUUUUUACUCAGAGUGUGUCUUCAUCCAUUAGACAAGUUCAUUAAAAUGAGCGUUUGAUUGAUGGAUGGAUAGAUAGAUACGUAUGCUAUGUGAUCAAUCAGAUCGUUGCAGAAUAUUUACUGUGCAGGAAGCAGUUUUUUGUUCACCUGUCAGUAUUCAAGUUUGGUGAAUUUAGUCUGUGCACAAUUACAUUUUGUCUCUGAAGGCUACAUCUUGGGAUGUUAACCCCAUUCACCCCGUAUGAAUGAAUCAUUUUAUUGUUAAAUUAGAAAACCUUAUAAAGUAACAAAGGCCAAUGGCAUGUGUUUGCACAACACUUGACUACAACAACACUUGACUUACAACCAGCCCCUCUUCACAUGAGGUUGGAUAUGUGGCAAUGAUUUUACCUAUCAAAUGAGAUCCCCUGACAUUGUCAGCUCUUUUUCCAAAAUGGGUCCCCAGCCUUCUCCUCAUGAGUUGCACAUACCUGGCUGCAUCUCCAGCAUAAAAUAUAUGACCG